AGCUGCCCGCGGGCGGGGACUGGGUUUGCUGGAAACACACCAGGAGGCUUUCCUCAAAAACAGCAAAAUAGGCAACAUCGCUGUUGUCACUGGAGUUCGCAAAACUGAAAUCCUGUCAAGAUGUCUUUUUUAUUGAAUUUAUUGGGGCGCCAUUGGUUAAAAUUAUAUAGAUUUCAGAGUCACAGACUGUCAACAGUGAAGACCCGGCCCUCAGAGACGGUCAGUCCAGCCCCUUCACUUCGCAGGGAAGACGGGAGCUGGUGUGCUCGCUUCGGCAGCACAUGUACUAAAACUGGAACGAGACAGAGAAGAUUAGCAUGGCCCCUGCACAAGGAUGACAUGCAAAUUCCGGAAGCGUUCAUAUAAAAAAAAAAAUAGAUGGGAGCUGGAAGCUUCAGAAAAACACAUUUGCUGGCCUUCAGUUUGUGGCAUUUGAAAAACCUUCUUACUGCCAUUUUCUUAUCGUUUUGGUGGAAACCGAGUUAAAUACAUGUGUGUAACCUACCAUCUUGAAUCUGAAGAGUUCCAAUUUUUAAAAUUAAACCUUUUCUUGAUGUAUAAGAUACAGACAUCUAAUUUGCUUGUGACUAAGUUUUCUGAUUCCUAAUAAAUUGUUUUGAAGUUCAGAA